AAGUCGUAACAAGGUCUCCGUAGGUGAACCUGCGGAGGGAUCAUUAACACGUGUAAAUACGUUUAUAUACAAACAUGGUAACAAGAGGAAGAAAGGGAAUUGAAAUUCAUUUUUCAAUACACUUUCCGAAUCAGGAUCUCCCUAUUAUAGUAUACUAUAAUGUAACAACUUUAUUGUUCUUAUACUAUAUAUACAAUAGUAGGCUCUUUAUAUAUUAACUAACCCCUUUCCAACUGGUGACCUAACCGUUGCCACUUCAAUGACAUUUUGUCUGUUAUUUUAUUAUAACAAACAUUUAUAUUCAAUGCAAAGCACAACUCUUAGCAACGGAUAUCUUGGUUCUC
rnacentral:misc_RNA from 1 species